ensembl:misc_RNA 7SK 7SK RNA
GCAUGUGAGGAUGGUCUGUCUACAACAUCUAUCACCCAUUAAUCACCGGGGCUAAUUCGGCUGGUUGGGGCAUCCCCUUCCUCCCUUGUGCUCCAUGUGCACUCCUCCCAAAGCUACCCUUUCAGACAAAGAGAACAACCUUCCCAGAUAGAAGAGAAUCAUUCUAGAACCUCCAAAUAAGCGCUCAAGGCUUUAAACAUACAGACAUUUAAGAAUCUUUUGUAACAAGAAGACUAGAGAUAGGUAGUUCUAGGGUUACGCAGCUUCUCUACAUUUCUCUCGGUUCUAGAAAGGCAGUAUAGUGUAGCAAUGAGGAGGGCAGGCUUUGCCUUGCUCU